rnacentral:rRNA from 1 species
AGUGAACGCUGGCGGUAGGCCUAACACAUGCAAGUCGAACGGCAGCACAGGAGAGCUUGCUCUCUGGGUGGCGAGUGGCGGACGGGUGAGGAAUACAUCGGAAUCUACUCUGUCGUGGGGGAUAACGUAGGGAAACUUACGCUAAUACCGCAUACGACCUACGGGUGAAAGCAGGGGACCCUCGGGCCUUGCGCGAUUGAAUGAGCCGAUGUCGGAUUAGCUAGUUGGCGGGGUAAAGGCCCACCAAGGCGACGAUCCGUAGCUGGUCUGGGAGGAUGAUCAGCCACACUGGAACUGAGACACGGUCCAGACUCCUACGGGAGGCAGCAGUGGGGAAUAUUGGACAAUGGGCGCAAGCCUGAUCCAGCCAUACCGCGUGGGUGAAGAAGGUCUUCGGGCUGUAAAGCCCUUUUGUUGGGAAAGAAAUCCAGCUGGCUAAUACCCGGUUGGGAUGACGGUACCCAAAGAAUAAGCACCGGCUAACUUCUUGCCAGCAGCCGCCGUAA